rnacentral:rRNA from 1 species
GACGAACGCUGGCGGCGUGCUUAACACAUGCAAGUCGAACGGAAAGGCCCUGCUUUUGUGGGGUGCUCGAGUGGCGAACGGGUGAGUAACACGUGAGUAACCUGCCCUUGACUUUGGGAUAACUUCAGGAAACUGGGGCUAAUACCGGAUAGGAGCUCCUGCUGCAUGGUGGGGGUUGGAAAGUUUCGGCGGUUGGGGAUGGACUCGCGGCUUAUCAGCUUGUUGGUGGGGUAGUGGCUUACCAAGGCUUUGACGGGUAGCCGGCCUGAGAGGGUGACCGGCCACAUUGGGACUGAGAUACGGCGCAGACUCCUACGGGAGGAAGCAGUGGGGAAUAUUGCACAAUGGGCGGAAGCCUGAUGCAGCAACGCCGCGUGCGGGAUGACGGCCUUCGGGUUGUAAACCGCUUUCGCCUGUGACGAAGCGUGAGUGACGGUAAUGGGUAAAGAAGCACCGGCUAACUACGUG